GGCUAUUAAGUUUUCCUUAUGUGCUCCUUUUCAUCUCUUCUCUUUUGCUAUUUUUUCUUUUCUUUUUUGGUCCAAACAUUUUUUCCUUCCUUUUGUUCUUUUAAUAUUUUUCUUAGCAAGGAGCACCCAAAAUAGACCACAAAAAAUGUUGAGCUCAAUUGGAUAAAAGACACUAUGUGAAAAAGCGUUAAAUUCACACCUCCUCUACAGAUGUUAACACCUCCUCUACAGAUGCCAUGACGUACGUGCAUCUGCAGUAGCACUACUAUAGACGUGUUAUAGUGACAUGCGUGUAUAGUAAAGUCGUCAAUGGGGGGUCACCGAUAGGGAUAGAUAUCGAGCCAACUCGGCUUAUUAGUGACUCGGCUCAUUAUAGCUCGUCUUGUUAUGGCUCGUUAUACAAACGAGCUAAAAGACUGGCUUGGCUCGGCUCGUUAGCGAGCUCGAGCUAGCUCAUUUGACUUGUCAACCAAAUCAUAGAAACACAGCCUAGAGAGACUAUAAAUUUAUAAAAACAAUUGAGCAAUAAAUAUAUCACAUGCAUACCUAAAAUAAACUAAACAAACUACUUAU
rnacentral:lncRNA from 1 species